UUUUAAUGAGUGUGUCCUACACAUGGAGGAGCCCAGCUGGAGAUGUGCUCCCUUGAUGGAUUGUGUAAUGGGAAGGAGCUGCUGUCAGCCCAGAGCAGAGGAUCCUGUUCCACUGUGGUUCAGGAGAAGUGGGAGCACCUCAGUGGAAGGCUCUGUACAGAAGAAUGUUAAGGAAAAUUGGGAAGAAAACAGUGGCAGUGGGAUUCCAUUCCUUGCUGGAGGUGGAUAUCAGAAAUGGUUAGAAAUGCCUGGUCUUGACUCAGUCAGCGCUGGAAUUGUCUUGUAGCUUUUGUUCCCAUUCUCUUCAUCAAGAGCAAGAACAGAGACAGGGACAUGCCUAGGAAUUCACAUCCAUCUUCUCCUCAGGAAAAAAAUAAAAAGGAGACUGUGAAAAAUAGAAAAAAUGCCAUAACAUUUUCUCCAGUAUGGAUAAUAUGGGAAUUAGCUUCCUUUUUCAUUCUGAUGUAAGGUAAAAAAAAAAAACCAACAACCCAGGCUUUCAGUCAAAUUCUCAUCUACUGUAAGUAUGUCUGGUUCUAUUGUUUUCAAGACAGUUUAUCCCAUUUGUAGCAGCAGAAAAUGUAGGCCAUGCUAGUGACAGCAGGGAGAUGAACACCCUGAGUCUCCAGCUAAUUUUCAAAUGUAAUCUACCUGCUAAUGUGUGAUAUGGGAACUAAGUGUCCUUUAUAUACUCUUACAGCACUUCUGAUGCAAGAGGGAUAGAAACUAAUCCACCUUCAAAGGUAAUUAUAUU